rnacentral:lncRNA from 1 species
GUCUUCAGCAAUAUCCUCCAGCACUGUGGUUUGCAAGGGGAUGGAAUAAACACCAUACCCCAGAAACUCGGGGAGAGGCCUCGGUUGACGCCCAGUGACAUGCCUCUCUUGGAAUUAAAGGACAUUGUUCUCUACCUGUGUGACACCUCCACCACACUCUGGGCCUUUCUGGACAUCUUCCCUUUGGCCUGCCAAACCUUCCAGAAACAUGACUUUUGUUACAGACUAGCUUCCUUUUAUGAGAUGGCGAUUCCGGAAAUAGAGUCUGCAAUUAAGAAGAGGAGGCUUGAAGACAGCAAGUGAGGCUCCUGGGUGACAUGUGGCAGAGGCUCUCCCAUUCCAAGAAGAAGCUAAUGGAGGUGUUUCACACCAUCCUGAACCAGAUCUGCCUCCUUCCCAUUCUAGAGAGCAGCUGUGACAACAUUCAAGGCUUCAUUGAAGAAUUCCUUCAAAUCUUUAGCUCUUUGCUGCAGGAGAAGAGAUUCCUCCGAGACUAUGACUCAUUCUUCCCUGUAGCUGAAGACAUCAGCUUGCUGCAGCAGGCUUCAUCAGCAUUGGAUGAAACCCGGACUACCUACAUCCUACAGGCUGUGGAAGGUGCAUGGGAAGGGGUGGACAGACAGAAAAUCAAGGACAUUAAAGACC